GGAAGUUCUCGGGUGACAAAUCCCAGAAUUGGGCUCCCUCCUCUCUGGUUCCGGGUGCGUCACCCGAGAACCACU
rfam:Myotis lucifugus cont2.54711, whole genome shotgun sequence.